CAUAAAAUCAUCCAUGAAAAUUCGAACUCCUUUUUGCUUACUGUUGCAGUUUCUUGAGGAAUAUAGAUAACAUGCAAAUUUGAGUACUUAGUCAGUUAGUCUUGUUAAAUUAACCGCUUUCCAUGUGCAUUGCAUGUGCCAUUUCCUUGGCAGCUGAAUUUCGCUCCAAGGCUGCCUUGUGCCAUGCCUUAGCUCAAUUUGACAUUGGCCCAUGCCAAUGUUAUGCCCGCAUUCCGUUGCCAUGAUUUUGCCGCACACGCCCAGUGCCGCUGCCGCCGGCACACCGCCUUGGCUUAGUUUUCUGCCUUGUCAGUACCAAUCCUCAUUUCCCUCGUGCCAUUGCUUGUUCUUUCUUUCCCAUAGCCUUGUCUUAGCUAUUGAAAGCCUUUGCUAUGAACCCGCAUUUCCGCCUCGCCUUAGCUUAGCCCGCACAUAGCUGUCACAACCCAAAAAUGGUCUACUUGAGGAUUAUGUAUAAGAGUAUAAUGUAGUGUAUUUGUAGAGAAAUCCGGCUUAGUAUUUCUAUCAGUACUUAAGCUUUUGAAAGCUCCGAUAAAGAGAUUGAUAGCUUGCAGUAUAUGGGAAUUUCUAUGUGCAUGAUUUUUUUCAUAACGAGCUAGCUAAAUGUGAUCGACGUUAAUUAUUAUUGUUGGGAUAUAUACUAUUAAC
rnacentral:lncRNA from 1 species